GUUGACGCCGUAUACAGUUACCGAGAGUCCCAUGUGCGAAAUCAGUAAAAAUGAAGGCAUGUGCUUGAAUCUUGAAACUGAAAGAAGCAUCAAUGUACGUACAUAUACCAACCAAAUAGGAGCGUGCCAAAUAAAGAGCCAGCUGAAGUUAUAGAUGUAUAAACACUAGAGUAACUAAGCAGAAGAUUUAUUCCAAAAAGGAGACAACAUGGCUAAGCCAGGAAAAAAGUUUGUGCUGGUUGUGCUGAGGAGCAUGGCAGGAACAGGACACGUGUACACCUGGGUGAGACAGCGGUUAGAUGAGAAGCUGAUGCAGCUCAUGUAUGACCCUCAUGUGAGGCGGUGUGUUUUGUACAAAGAAGUAAGAAAGAUUAAAAGCAUGGACAAUCGAACCCACUGAUAUUCUUGUGUAUGCUGCUUGCAGUAAAAAUAUAGUGUCCCUGUACAUAGACAUGGCUUACACCACCAUGCCGUAAAUGGAACAUUGGCUAACUCCAGCAUACAAUUAGAACAUACCGUGUUCUAUAAAAUCUAAUUAACACAACGGUUUGUUUUAAAGGUAAUGUGAAAGCAAGUCAAUCAAAAAAGAAUGUCAAUUGUUUAGCAUAAUUGCACGUUACCCUAUAGUUAUCUGAAUCUGGAUACUAUAGUUAUUGUACGUCAAGACACUAUUACUUGAAAAACAACAUGUACGAAGUUUUUGUACUGAUGAAAGUUACACUAAAAGUGAGUGUAUAUGUACAUGAUAUUGAUGCCAUGUUGUAAAUUCUAACUAAACGGUAUUAAAAUAGUAAUUGUAUAGAAUUGA